ensembl:misc_RNA Metazoa_SRP Metazoan signal recognition particle RNA
GCCUGGUGCAGUGGCACAUGCCUGUAGUCCCCGCUACUCAGGAGGCUGAGGUGGGAGGAUUGCUUGAGCCCUGGAGUUCUGGACUGUAGUGCACUAAGCUGUUCGGGUGUCUGCACUAAGUUCAGCAUCAAUACGGUGACCUCCCAGGAGUGGGGGACCACCAGGUUGCCUAAGGAGGGGUGAACCAGCCCAGGUCGGAAACAGAGCAAGUCACAAUUCUUGUGCUGAUCAGUAGUAGGAUCGUGCCUGUGAAUAGCCACUACACUCCAGCCUGGGCAACAUAGCAAGACCCAGUCUCUA